CGCACACACAGUCUAAGCGUGUAACUCGAGAUGUUUUCACCAACCAAGCACUGUGCUAAAUGCUAGGAACACAGCAACAGAUCUGACCACAUCCCCCUUCCCGGGGCCUUCUGGUCUAGACAGGAAGAUGGGGCAUUACCACUGGGUGCGAUAAGGACUGUGAGGAGAGGAAGAGCAAGAUGCGAUGGGAGUGCAGGAGGGGGGCACCUAAGCCAGUGUUGAGAGUCAGGAAGACAUCCUGGAGAAAAUAAUUUUGACUUUUGAGGCAGUUGAUUAGAAAUUCACCAAAGGGGAAUGGGGAGAAGGGUCUUUCCAGCAGACAGACUAGCAUGUGCUUACGUGGGCACCCUAAAGAAUAUGGUGUGUGUGUGUGUGUGUGUGUAUGUGUGUGUGUGUGUGUGUGUUUGGGGGUAGGAUGGGGAGUUGUGAUGAGGGAUGGGGCUGGUGAGACCAGAUCAUGAAAGAUCUUAGUAGAGUGACUACACACACCUACUGUCCAAGUGUAUUUAUUGACGGCAUCACCUUUUGAUCUCAAAAGUACCCUGGUUCAGAUAACAAGGCAAGCCUAUCAUAUGGUAACCCUACUUGCAGAAGACCUACUAUGGUGUUUGAACUUUUAUCCUGGCAGCAAAGAGGACCCACUGAGGAAUUUAAGCAGGGUGCUGGCUGGAUUGGAGUCACAGUUUGAAACAGACUGGCAGUGAGAUGCCUGGGUUGGCUCAGUGGUUGAGCAUCUGCCUUUGGCUCAGGUUGUGAUCCCAGAAUCCUGGGAUGGAGUCCUGCGUCGGGGUCCCAGCAGGGAGCCUGCUUCUCCUUCUGCCUGUGUCUCUACUCCUCUCUCUGUUCUCUCAUGAAUAAAUAAAUAAAAUCUUAAAAAAAAAAAACAGACUGGCAGUGAUGUGAAGAAUGGACGGGGUUGGGGGGGGGCGAGAGUGAAAGAGGGAGGUCAGGUAGGAAGCUGUGCAGUUGGCCGAGGGGAGGUGCUGAGGACAGCCAAGGUGAGAGAGGUGCUGGUGGAGAGAAGACCAAUUUAUAGUCGAUCGGGGACGAAAGUAACAGAGAACCUGGUGACGUUUUGACCUCAGGAUUGAGGGAGAAGGAGUAGCCCAGGACAACUUCCAUUGUUCUGGCCCAGGUGCACAGCAGAUGCUGGUACCGUGGAGUAUGGGGGAUGAGGGGCUGAAGGUUACUGAGGAACUACUCAGUCAAGGGUACCCCAGGGCACGUCCCCAGGAGGGCUUCAGGGGCAGCCAUUGCAGCCAGAAGACAGGUGGCCAUCAAUACAUUUUUGCCCAAAUGCUCUCUCCAGAUAGUCAUGAAGUGGUGGGGCCCUAAACUAUCCAGCCUUGAGACUUCUGGGUGCUGGAAUCCAAAGGACAAGGAGAAGUGUGGGAGGUCAUGUACCCAAGGAAAGGUGGGCUGUCCUGGAGAAAGGUAUAAAGGGUUUUAAAUGCACAAGAUAAAAUCUGGAUUAUAGGUUAUCUGAAGGAGGGAAAUAAGUAGAAGCCAACAGAAGGCUCUGAAACAGAAAGGAAGAGGGGGUCUUUUGAAAGUUAUAGACAGUUUACAGCAACAUUACGGACAAUUUAAGAAAUGUGUGUGAAAAGCCUCAACUCAUCAUCUGUCACCUCAACACAAUGAGAUUAUUUUGGUGUAGUUAGGAGGUUUGCCUGAGUGAAGCAAUUGCUGCAGCAGCAGGUUAACUAAAUAUCUACAGUAACAGUUGAACGGGUCCAAGGCCAGACUUGGAAGGCUAUGUACGUCAGCAACCCCGAUAGGAAAUGGCAAUCAGAGACUCCUCCAAAGGAGGGCCAGGGCUCCAGAGCCUAAAAAGAGUCCCUAUGCCUUUUUUUUUAAUUAAACUGUUUUGAGAUAAUUACAGGCUCACACGCGGUUGUAAAAAACAAAAUCCCAUAUGCCCUUCACCCAGUUUCUCCCAGUGUAACAUGUGGCAGAACUGUAGUGUAAUAUACAACCAGAAUUGAUUCAUUGAUACAAACAAGACACAAACAGUGAUGUCACCACAAGGAGCCCACCAUUGCCUUGGAUAACCUCAGCCACUUCCUUCCCAGCUCGCCCCUUCAAUACCCACCCACCUCCUGCCCCUCGCAAUUAACUAACCUAUGCUCAACUUCCAAAAUCUUGUCAUUUCAAGAAUGCUGUUUAAAUAGAAUCAUACAGGGAUCCCUGGGUGGCGCAGCGGUUUGGCGCCUGCCUUUGGCCCAGGGCGCGAUCCUGGAGACCCGGGAUCGAAUCCCACAUCGGGCUCCCGGUGCAUGGAGCCUGCUUCUCCCUCUGCCUGUGUCUCUGCCUCUCUCUCUCUCUCUCUCUCUCUGUGACUAUCAUAAAUAAAUAAAAAUUAAAAAAAAUAAAAAUAAAUAGAAUCAUACAACAUGUAAACUUCUGGCUUUUUCUCUAAACUCCGCCUGAUUCUCUGGAAGUUCAUCCAAGCUGUAUGUUUCAAUGGUUUGUUCCUUUUCAGCAGGCAGUAGAAUUCCAUGGUAUACAUGUACCAGUUUAACAAUUUACCCAAUGAAGGACAGUGUUUCUGGUUUUUGGCUAUCAAGCAUAAAACCACUGUUGACAUUCAUGUAUAGGUUGUUGUGUGAACCUAACUUUUUUAAAAAAAUACUUUAUUUGUUCUUAAGAGACUCACAGAGAGAGGUAGAGAUAUAGGCAGAAAAGCAGGCUCCCUGUGGGGAGACUGAUGCGGGACUUGAUCCCACAACCUCAGGAUCACCACCUGAGCCGAAGGCAGAUGCUCAACCACUGAGCCAUCCACCUAACUUUUUACUUCUCUGAGGCAAAUGCCCGGAAAUGCAGUCACUGAGUUGCGUGGUAGUUGCACGUUUGUUUGUUUUUUAAGACACUCCUAAACUGGUUUCCAGAGUGGUCGUACCAUUUUGCAUUUUACCAGCAAUGUAUGAGUGAUCCAGUUUUCAAGCCAUUAUAGAAACAUAAAGAUGAAUGGAAAUUAAGAUGGACACACUAACGUCCCAGCAAGGUGGAUCUGCAGUUUUGAAGGCACUAGCCUUCAAAGUAAUAAAAGUAAUAAAACUCUUGCCCCUCUUAUUUAUUUAUUUAUUUAUUUAUUUAUUUAUUUAUUUAUGAGACAGGGAGUGAGUGAAUGGGGAGUGGGGACAGAGGGAAAGACAAAAAAUCUUAAUCAGCCUCCAUGCCCAGAGUGGAGCCCGAUUUGGGGCUCUAUCCUACAACCCUGAGAUCAUGACCCCAGCCAAAAUCAAGAGUCAGUUCCCCGGCUACCCGGGCAUCCCUAUCAUUUCAUUCCUCCUUAUCCCCAAACUCUGUCUUUGUGUUCUAUUUUGACUCCAGAGAACAGAGAGAGAUUGGUUUUCAGCAUGAGUUCCUCCGCAUCCUCACCAGCAUUCAGUGUUGUCACCAUUUUUUUUUUUUAGCUACUCUGAUAGGUGUGUAGUGAUGGCUCAUUGCAGUUUUCAUUUUCGUUUCCCUAGUGGCUAAUGAUGUUGAACAUCUUUUCAUGUGCUUAUUUGUCAUCCUUAUAUCCUCUUUGCUGAAGUGUCUCAUCAAGUCUUUCCCAGCUCUCUGAUUUAGCUGGCUCCCUCUAACACUGUUCCAGCUCUGGAAGGGGAAAUUGGCAUCACCUCAGUUUGAAGUACAGGUCCCACUCAGCCUCUGUUGACAACUAGGGAGCUUCCCUGUUGCUGCAGGGUAGGAUUUGGAGUUCCGGCUCCCACCCGGUCUCCACUGAUACCUCCUGGCUGGGACGCGUAGGAGUUAGUUCCUUGUAUCUGUUCUGCACCUGACCCCCACUGACACCACAAGGUCAGAGGAAUGUGGUUUUGUUGCUGCUAGGUAAUGGUGAAAAUCUUAAAGUCUCCACCAGAUCUGACACCACCCAACCAGGAAGGGUAGUUAUUACUGCCUGGCAGGAAUGGAAGUCUGGGCUCCCCAAGUGGUCUCCACUGAUACCACUGGAGGGGGGAACCUCAUUUUCAGGCAACCAGAUGAAAGCCCCGCCUCUCUCUCUCUCUCUCUCUCUCUGCCUUCUGUGACCCCUCUUGGCAGGGGGUGUGGCAAGGGCUUGGGGUGCUCAUUACAGCCUGAAGUCAAAGUCUCAGCUCCCUACUUGGCCUUUGCUGAUGGGGGUGGGGCCACAGUUUUUCCUGUGCUGUUUGGCUAUAGUAGAGAGAUUAAUACCUAAAAUUUUAUGUGUUCUUACCCUGCCCCUUUCCUAGAGAGAGAUGUCUUUUGCUGGGGUUCUUUUGUCUGUGCCCAUUGGUGGUUCCCAGUUGUUGGCUUCUUCAGCUCCAAGUCUGGAAUAUAUGAGGCAAAAAGAAAACCCAGGGAACUCACAACCAUGUUAUUUCUUGAGUUAGAAACCUCUAGCUGGUCUGCCUUCUCACCACCUUUCAGAAUCUUCUUCUUUUUUAAGUAUUUAUUUAUUUAUUCAUUCAUUCAUUCAUUUGACAGAGAAAGAGAGAGCACAAGCACAGAGAGUGGGAGAGGGAAAAGCAGGCUCCCCACUGAGCAGAGAGCCUGACACGGGGCUCUAUCCCAGGACCUUGAAAUCAGGACCUGAGCUGAAGGCAGAUGCUUAAGCCACUAAGCCACCCAGGUGCCCCCUUCCAGAGUCUUCUAUGGUUGUUUCAUAUAUAAUGUCCAGAGUUUUUAACUGUACUCACCAGAAUGAGUAAGAAAAAUACAUCUACUUGAUUUUCCCAGAACUUCAUAGGUCUUUGAAGAAAUCAAAAGUUUUUUGUCCUAUAAAAUAUAGGGAAGUUCACAGUUCACAAAUGUAUAGGUCACUCAAUUUUCACCAACUGCACAUACCCAGCACCUAGAUCAAAACACAGAAUGUGGGGUGCCUGGUGGUUCCACUGGUUGAGCAUCUGACUCUUGGUUUUGGCUCAGAUCAUGGUCUCUUGAUCAUGGUCUCUUGAUCAUGGUCCCAUGGUCAUGGGAUUAAACUCCGGAGUUUGCUUGAGAUUCUCCCUCUCCCUCCACCCCUCCCCCAACUCCGGCAGGCUCUCUCUCUCUCAAAUAAAUAAAUAAA
rnacentral:lncRNA from 1 species